GUUAAGGCAGUCAGGACCUGGACGACCUAGAUGAGCGAUAUGAGAUGAAGUUGUCAGAUUUGUACACUCCACUGACUGAUGAUGAACUUGAUGGCAUUGUAGCAGACAUUCACAGGCAUAAUCCCAGAGCAGGGAUUAGGAUGAUCCGUGGUCUUCUUAAAUCACAGGGUCUACAUUUGCAAACCUAUCGUGUGCAAACUCACUGUGACGAGUGGAUCCUGAGGCUACUUCAGCAAGGCACGUAUCCAUGCAUGUGCUGAGGCGCACGCAGCAUGCAGUCCGUGCUCCGAACAGUUUAUGGCACAUUGAUGGAAAUCACAAACUAAUA